CUUUUGGAGCCAGCGGUCGAAGGUGGGAUUGAUGAUUGGGGUGAAGUCGUAACAAGGUAGCCGUAGGAGAACCUGCGGCUGGAUCACCUCCUUU
rnacentral:rRNA from 1 species